UUGUAUGGCAAUAAAAAACUAACUCAAAACUGAACAUAGAGUAAAAUUCAUCAAAAUUUAAAAUAUUUUGGGGGUAAAGGUUGCCCCUAAGGUGACCCACCUACUUUGCAGGAUGCCUGGGAGUUUCAGUCUGCCCA
rnacentral:snRNA from 1 species